rnacentral:lncRNA from 1 species
GAGGUGGAUGGCCGGGCCACUCGGCUGGCUGCAAGCCUAAAGUGGUAGUCGGCUUCUUAUAGGUCCCAGACCAUCCAUCAGAGCUCACCUUAUGGAUGUGGAACCAACCAUUGACAGGGCUGGAGAGCAUGGUCCGAGGAGCUGUGGUGGCCAGCUGGAGACAGGGUCGUGCCAGGGGUCAGUUGUCCCCGUUCUUGGGUGAGACAACAAGCUUCAGAACGAGGCUCAGGUAGCAAACAGACUUAGGGGAGAGUCCCUCAGAGCCCUGUCCCAGCUCCAUAUCGGACUUUCUCCUAUUCAGAGCUCCCAUAGCAGGAUAAAAUGAAGAUGCGACAAGUUCAUGGUGCGAGAGAGAAGCCUGAUCCAAUCUGCUGACAUCCUGGGAAUCAUCAAGGCAACGUCAGGACGUGUCCUGGACAGCCAUGCCUACCACAGCUAAAUGGUCAGUCAUUCCCGAGAAGGCUGUUUGGCCUAGCCAGUGGGAUUCUGGAACUAAGCGAGGGUCACCCCAGCCUCUCCAUAUCUUCCCACAAGGAAAGAGUGGUCCUAAAUGGAAUAAAGCCCAAGUUAUCUAGAAUGGGACGCCAGCUUUGCCUCGCCCUCAUGCCCUGGGUUGUCAUAGCAUUUUCUGCUCUCAGUUCUCUGAGGUUGAGGCAGAUCAAGGACGUGAGAGGAAAAGCUGACUUUGUUCCAGUCUCACCACCCAGCCACACGUUCCAGCCCCAAGACUGGGAGAAGUGCCCUGGUAGAAAUCCAGCCCUCUUGGUCUCCUCAUCGCGACUGAGGGGUGAUUCUGUGUGAAUUCACACUGGACACUGUAUAAGACAACUGCACCUUGCUCUUCUGCUCUACAGUGUAUCUGAGGCCAACUUGGUAACACACACAGAGCUGCUCUGUCUGCCUCAGCUCCUGGGUUGUUUAGUGAGUGGAUGUGUCAGGGCUUGUUGCACCCCCUCCCCCAGGACUGGACACAAGGUGACUGCCAUCGUCUCAGUCUGACAGACAAUGGAGUCUUCACCACCUUUCAGCACUUACAAAAGUUGCCUUGGAGACCCCCAACUCUGGAGUCCCUCUGUCAAAUAGGAUACGGGUUUCUUAGUUUAAUGGCUAUGGGAAGAUACAAAUUCAUUAAGAAACAAAUGCAUUUUUCAUAGUUUAUUUUGUAAUAAGCUUCUUUCUUGUGCGUAUGCUUUAACACUUUACUCAUGUGGCAGCAUACAUCAGAUCUCAUCUCUCUACAUCUGAGUAACAGUCUCUUGUAUGGAUGAGAUAAUUAGAUGUAUUUUGACCUUUGUUUUACUGCCAUUAAAUCUUGUUAAGUAUGAA